rnacentral:piRNA from 1 species
UACCAAGAGCCUGAGAAACUGCUUGG